rnacentral:rRNA from 1 species
GUGUUCGGCGAUUUGCCUGCCUCGGCGAUGGACUCGGAUGACGAGGAAGCGCUCGCCGCGCUGCUGGAGGAGGAAGCCGAGGCCGACGUCCAGGAAGAAGAGCAUCUCAUGGUGCUCGCCGCCCUCGCCCAGCUGCUGGCGAGCAAUGAAAAGCCGCGGCGAGGUGGGUCGGCGCCGGGGCGGGUGAAAGCAAAGAACCGGCAUCGUCUCGAAGGCUACUGCAUGCUCUACUCCGACUACUUCGCCGAUGCUCCACUUCACGGCGAGAAAACAUUUCGGCGCCGUUAUCGGAUGAGCCGAAAGCUCUUCCUCAGGAUUGUGAAUUCCAUCCGGGAGUUCGACAACUACUUCAAGUGCAAGAUGGAUUGGACCGGCGCCCUUGGAUUCACCUCCAUCCAGAAGUGCACGACAGCGAUGAGGAUGCUUGCAUACGGACCUCCCGGUGAUUCACUCGACGACUAUGGGCGCAUGGCCGAGUCCACCAGCAUAGAGUGUUUCUACAAGUUCUGUCGGGCUGUGGUGGCAGUGUUUGGACCGCAAUACUUGAGAACACCCAGUGCGGAAGACACUGCUCGGAUCCUAGCACAGAAUACAGCAAGA